UUUCUCACGUGGUGGUUGACCGUGGCCAUUCUUUGAAUUAAGGCUCCCAGUUUCCCACUUGUCACUAACACCCUUAAAAACAUAUUACAAUUUUUCGUUAUUGUUGUGUAUUGUUGUGUAUUACAAAAUUCACUUACAGAUCAGCAAGACAUUCUAACAGCAGAAUUGUGACUUUAAAAAAUUUUCCAUGAAGAGAGAAAAACAAUACGUGGUAUAUCUUACGAUGUAUAUGAGGCAUCAACAAAGACACUGUUGAGUGUUGAGUGCACAAGAGAAUCAAGUCUUCCUUUUCUCCCUGGGGCCAGGUAAACUUCCAGAAUCUUGCGGGCCCAGCUACAGUUCUCUGACGGCCAUUGGGCAUCUCUGGUUUCAUUCAUUUUGUGGUGCUGGCGUUCACCCUGAGCCUGCCCACCAUAGCAAGGCUUCAUCCGCACGCUGGUAGUAGCAUCUUCCCAGACAGCCCUCCUAUACCGAGAUGCUAACAGGACCUUAACCGUAAGUGCCAAUGACAGAGGACCACAUCAAUUCAUCAUAUUAACCCCCAUCCACACUCACCCCUGACUCACCCUUCCGUAAACCGGAUUUCAAGAUGCCAGGAGUCAUUCAAACUGCACCUAAUUCCAAAGGAAGGUUGAGCGGUGAUGGAGGAGGAGUUGGAGGCAACAUCGUAACCAAUUGGACAUAAAACAUUUCACUGUGCAGAUGUUGUCUAGGCAGGUAACCAUGACAACACACUGGCAGAAUCCCUCCAGAGCUGUUGUCUAACUCCGCAACCCCUCUACAGGCUCACAUAUUUGAACGUUGGAUUCUCAGCUGAUCUGAGCUGUAAGCAGCAGUCACCUCAUGCUCCCUCCCACGCAUUGCCUUCUCUGCCACGAUGGACUGUGCCCUCUCAAACCAAGAGCCAGAAUAAAUCUUUGCAGCCCUAAGCGGCUUCCCGUCAGGUGCCCGAUAACAGCAGCUUCUGAGGCAUGGGUGACCUCAGGAUGGACACUGAAAAUGGGAGCUCAAUCCUCUGACGAUGCAGGGACAGUGAUGUCUGAGCUGUAUCCAGGGGGGCUGCUGAAUUAAGCAACUCUGUUACAAAUUGUCACCUAAGUGAGUUUGGGGAACAUUUGUCUGCCCUGCAUUCAUCCUGACAACAGCUUGAGUCCAAAACCAUUGGAAAAAUCGUUCACUCACGGGAGAAUCGUCAGUGAACCUUUAUACAAAUGUGUCUUUGGAGCUAUGGGAAAAACACUGAAACUAUGGAGUAAGAUCUGAGGGAGGAAAGCAUGAACGUGGAGUCGGCCGGGAAUGGCGUCUGGUGGUUCUUCUUCCUGCACACUGGUCCGUCAUGCAUCGGAACCGCCUGUGCAGUUCUUGCAUGAGCAGCUCUCCAGCCUGGACUGAUGGUGAUGGGCCAGAGAGAACAACAAGGAAGCCAGGGGACGACCUUGAACUGAACGGUACCAGGUCAGGUCAGAGACAGCCAGACACUACCCGGACAGCGGCAACAUUGUUGCCCCACAAUAUUGUCUGUCUCCAAAGAUGCUUUUCAGACAAAUUCAGGAGGUGCUGAAAAUCAAUAAAUUCCUAGACUUGAGCCUUCCAUGUGGUGAUACCCCCUCGCAGGGCUCCAGGAUACCUUAUGAAGACUUGUGGGCUACUCCAACCUUCUCUUUACCCAGAGUACUUGCGAAGCAUAGAUGCUGUGUGGACCCAUCCUCUGAGCGCGGGAACCAUCUCUCUGUUUGUCAACUGCCAGCGUUGACAUUCUCUCUCACUUCCCACGGUCUGGCACCAGAGAGGGGAUCUGGAGCCAACUUGAUUCCUCCUCUAAAGAGACAGCUUUGCAGUCUGCACUGUGUUUGUAAGGGAACUAAUAAAAUGUGCAAA
rnacentral:sRNA from 1 species